AUUUAUAUAUUUUAUAAAAUAUUACAUUUUCAUUGUAAAGAUACCUUACAGGUUAUAAAUA
rnacentral:tRNA from 1 species